ensembl:lncRNA
UUCCACUCACUGAGAGCUCACUGACAUCCCAGUUAAUAAUAAGCAAGAUUUUUUUUUUCUUCAUGUUAACUGGUGUUGGGUUGAGGAGGCGGGGGUGGGGUGUCAAACUGAGUCAAUGGAGUCAUUGUCUGACCCUCGUGUCUUCGUCCGAAAGUCAUCGCUCUCCGAACUCGCGCACCCAGAGCGGCGACGUUUGAAAGGAAAGGAGUUGUUGUGGUUCACUGAGGCUUGUAAUCCUGGAGCGGUCUUGAAACAAGCAGGCGAGGCGCAGACGAUCAGUGAGAACCUCUUACUGCUUCAAAAUGCUCUCUCAGAAUCUAACCUUCAAC